AGAAACAGUUCGCUUCGUCAUUGCUGUCCGGUGAUGAGCUUUCUCCGUGCUAUUUUAUGCAUUGGAAAAUUUAAUUGUAGUGUAAAAAGUAGCGACACGUUAAAAUGUGAAUAGUGCACAGUUCUGUGGUGAUGAGCGUAGCUCUAGUGCGAUAUGAUACUACUACGGUUUUAACGAGUGGAUGUGCAGGAAAAUCACUUGCAAUCGAAAUGCAUCGUGUCGUGACAAAGAACCGAAAUUAUUUAGCGAUGAGCGAUUUUCGCAAUUUUCAAACCAUGCUGUUUUUCGGCUGUUCAAAAUGGCUGCCACCUAGCAUUCCAUUGAUCCAGAAUGAUCUGGAAAAAUUGGUUUGCGUCUGUAUGCGUCGGCUCGGAAUGUAUUAAUCUAAUCCUGAACGGCGAAUAUUCCGGCCGCUUUUGCAAAUCUGUACUACAUUAACCGGCUCCAACGAAACACGUACCAGAAUAUGGACACAAUCGUUAUUCUAAGAAGCCACGUUUUCAUCAUUUUUUAAUGUAUAGCUCGAUUGUCGGAUCCGUGGAGCGAGUUUCGUCCACGGAAGGAUGGAAAAUGGUGCCUUUGUGCCGGAUGCGUAAUGCAAAUCGUGUUAUCAGAGCGCCGCUUUCCAAGGAUUCCAGGAUUGAUUUCUAACUGAUUUCGAGUAUGAAGGUACAGUUUGUAUUAUUAUUUAGUUUAGGGAAAUUAACUGAAAAUAGGUUAUUACGACUAAGAACGACAAUAAUCGGUCAUAAUUGAUGAAUUGCGAGAUUUUAUUUUCCAGUUUUGACUUAGAGGUUUCUCGUAAGGUUAGUUUGCAAAAUAUUGUUUUCUUUAGUAUUUUCGUAACCACGCUUCUCUUUGUGAUUCUUUUUAUUUUUGAAAUGAAGCGAAUGCUUAAGUUAAGUAGGGCGUCAUAGGGAAGAAAAAGACAUACGACUUACAUAUUGCAAAUUGAUUUGCCUCUUUUGCAAUAAGUCUCAUUAGGUUAUUAUCAAAAAGUAGAUGACAUUAUUUUUGCAAAAGCAGAAAGUUUGUGGGUGGCUGAAAUCUAACCAUGUUUUCUAUUUCCUGUUUGUAUGUCAACUGCAAGCAAAGUACGACACCAGCCUACUGUGGUAAUUCUACUUUAAUUUUUUGCAGAUGUUUCAACACGUGAUAUUAUCACUACGGAAUAUUAUUUUUGCCCUUCUCUUGAAGUCGUCAUCAUAUGACCAAAGGUCGCAUGAGUACGCGUAGAUUGAUUCAACCACUGAAAUUUCGGAUAUGUUUUAGAAAUUCGUUUUUUGUUUAGCAUAUUUUACACUUACUACUGCUUUAGUUGCGUGAUAUUAUCACUACGGAAUAUUAUUUUUGCGAAAAUAUAUUUUUAACCUGAGUUGUGACACUUAGUUCGUGCUUUAAUCCCGAACUGUCCACUCGUUGGACUUACAUAUUGUGAGCUUGGCCUCAAGAAAUGUUGUUGAUUUUAAUUAGAUUCAAAUUUCCUCAAGAAGUCGUCAUCAUAUGACCAAAGGUCGCAUGAGUACGAAUAAUACUGACUACUGUAAGUUCUUUUUAAGUUCUAUUUCUAUUAUUUUUGCGGGAGCAGAUUUUGUUAAUUGAUCACUGAAAUUUCUCAAUAUUUUCUAUUUCCUAUUCGUAUGCGAACUGUCAGCGAAUUGCGACACCAGCCUACUGUGAUUUCUUUCAAAUUCUAUUUCAAUUUUUUUUAACGAAAAACAGCAAUGCUUUCGAUGCGUGAUAUUAUCACUACGGAAUAUUAUUUUUGUGAACAUUUACGCCUGCUUCGCUUAACAUCUAUCCGGUUCGAAGGACCAAAUGUUGGCACUUGGCAUGAGUUAAUAUUUCCCCGUUUAUGGGGAAUUUUUUCUGCCAUGAUAAAACAUGGUUUCACUUAACAUUAGUGGAAACUUUCGUUUACUAAAUUUUAAUCGAAAGUAAUGUUCGUUUUUAUUUCUUCCUUUAACAAUUAUGGCUAAUUCUAAUUUUAGCACUCGUUGCUGGCUAUUUUCUCUUUUAUCCAGUUAUAGCUACUAGAGCAAGUGACCUACUGCUGCCGCUGACACUCGUUAAUUUUCACAAUAGAAAGGGCAAAAAUAGCUCGCUAGUAGUAAGAACAAGGCUAGAACACCUCCGCUGUAAAUUCUUUUUAAGUUCUAUUUCUAUUAUUUUUGCAAACAUACCAUCUCGAUUCCACUACUGAAAUUUCUCUAUAUAUUUCUAUUUACAAUUCGUAUACGAAAAAAACAAUGAAUUUGUCGAUCUCUUCAAAACUAGGUCGUUUUAGAAUAUUUGACAGAAAGCAGAUAACCAAUCACUGAAAUUUCGGAUAUGUUUUAGAAAUUCGUUUUUUACCCCAAAGAAAGCAACCGCUGAAAUUUCGAAGAAAUUCUAUAGUUUAUCCUAGUUUGAGUGAAUCUGUAUCGAACCGUGAUAUUAUCACUACGGAAUAUUAUUUUUAUGUUUGAAAAUUUCUCCAGAAGUCGUCAUCAUAUGACCAAAGGUCGCAUGAGUACGAGGAAUAUAGAAAUACCUGCACCUGUAAAUUCUUUUUAAGUUCUAUUUCUAUUAUUUUUGUGAAAGCAGAAAACAAAUGCCAAUCGUUGUAAUUUCUCAAUAUUUUCUAUUUCCUAUUCGUAUGCGAACUACGCGACAGGGCACCAGCCAACUGUGAUUUCUUUCAAAUUCUAUUUCAAUUUUUUUGCGAACCAGUGCAAGCAAUUUCUUUUGACACGUGAUAUUAUCACUACGGAAUAUUAUUUUUGCCGUUUGAAUAUCAAACCACUGCAGCUUCACAAUAUUACAAUAUGCAUUACAAAUUUACGGGAUUGAGAUCUCUUUAAGUCGUCAUCAUAUGACCAAAGGUCGCAUGAGUGCGCGUAGAAAGAAUAAAUCACUGCGAUUUCGGAUAUGUUUUAGAAAUUCGUUUUUUGACUUUAUUCAAUUGACAAACUUCUCGACAUUUUUUUGGCAAGCUAGAAUUAAAUACAUUAUAUUUGGUAUUUUCUGCAAGCUUUCAAUAUCGAUAGUGCAUUUUUACAAUGAAAAUGCAUUGCAAUUAUCUAAUACAAUUAUAAUAAGUCUCAUGCUCCGAUUUAUAGCAAACUAUCGAAAUUUGAUAAAAUGCAAACGCGAUCCGCGGUCGAAAUUCAGCUGAAAAAAAAAAAUAGUUUUGUUAGAUUUAAUUCGAUUUUUCAAAAAGUCGUCAUCAUAUGACCAAAGGUCGCAUGAGUGAGUACAACACUAGAACACCUUCACUGUAAAUUCUUUUUAAGUUCUAUUUCUAUUAUUUUUGCAAACAUACCAUCUCGAUUCCACUACUGAAAUUUCUCUAUAUAUUUCUAUUUACAAUUCGUAUGCGGGAAGGCAAUGAAUUUGUCGAUCUCUUCAAAACUAGGUCGUUUUAGAAUAUUUGAACGAGAACGGAUGACCAAUCACUGAAAUUUCGGAUAUGUUUUAGAAAUUCGUUUUUUAGCCAAGUUAACCAAUCGCUGAAAUUUCGAAGAAAUUCUAUAGUUUAUCCUAGUUUGCGACAAACUGCGUUCGAACCGUGAUAUUAUCACUACGGAAUAUUAUUUUUGGUCGAAAGAUUCUCAAAAAGUCGUCAUCAUAUGACCAAAGGUCGCAUGAGUGCGGGACAAUUGCACCAGUCACUGUAAGUUCUUUUUAAGUUCUAUUUCUAUUAUUUUUGCGAAAGCAGGAAACAAACCAAUCAUUGAAAUUUCUCAAUAUUUUCUAUUUCCUAUUCGUAUGCGAACUGUCAGCGAAGUACGACACCGGCCUACUGUGAUUUCUUUCAAAUUCUAUUUCAAUUUUUUUGUGAACGAUAGACAGCAAAUGUUUCAACACGUGAUAUUAUCACUACGGAAUAUUAUUUUUGCCCCGCGAAAGUCACAAUAUUACAAUAUGCAUUACAAAUUUACGGGGCUGAGCUCUCCUGAAGUCGUCAUCAUAUGACCAAAGGUCGCAUGAGUGCGCGUGGAAAGAUUCAACCACUGAAAUUUCGGAUAUGUUUUAGAAAUUCGUUUUUUGUUAAUAUUUGGUACAAUUCGUGCUUGGCGAUGGUUCUGUAGUUCAUUUAGAACCCAACCGACCUUAAAUCCACAAUUGUUCAUUCCUUGCCAAUCGUACGCAGCUGUGCUGCAUUCAAGUCAUUGGGAAACAAGACAUACGACUUACAUAUUGCAAAUUGAUUUGUUUCGAUCGAACCAACAAUAUCGAAAUAUGACCAAUCAUAAGUGUUUGUUGCUGAUUUUGAUUGAUGCCUCACCGGCACGAACCCGGUCUCGAAGUACCACUCACCGUAUGAACUACAGCAUUGGCCCAAACCCAAUGCCGUUCUUUGAGGUGUGAUAUGUGAUUUAUGAAAUUAAACACAUUCUACUUGAGUGUCCGGAAGGGAACUGAUUUGAUUUUAUUUCACAUUUAUUAACAGAGUUGUUUAAACCUCGAGCUGGUUCCGUCGAUUUGCUGAUUCAAGCGCUUUUAGCCGCUUGCCGUUUCGUCGCCAUCUCCAUAUGAUGAUGACGACGAUAAUGAUGAUGAAGAAUGCACCGUCCAGAGAAUACGAUGCGACGUCGUGUGCGCUGAUAGUAUUUUGUAUGAUUACGUCGUCUCCGAACGGCCACAUCGUGUAGAGUUGCGUACUUCGUUGAAAUUGGAGAACUGUUGCAGAGCGAUGGCGGCGCGCAUACUUUUUAUGGCCCUCCAAUGCGGAUGUUUGUGGUACCCGUUUAUGCUGAGAACGGGCAUUUCGAUUGUUUGAAAAACGCUUCGAUUAAGCGCUUUUCGUUUGUUUGCUGCAACAUUGUCGUGGGGUGGUGCUUUACUUUGUGUCACACCAAUAAGAAUAUUACCAGUACAAUGUCUAUUGUUCUAAGCUCCUCUACUCCUACAUGGUUCACUAUAUGUGGUUCUGUCUCGAACCAACCCAUAUUUUUUGUUUUUAAACUCGUUGGUCGCUUGCGCAGAUUGUCGCUGAUUUUUAGCGUUUUUCACCACUGAGUCAUUGCAAUCUCUUGCCCACAGGUUCUUACUUUGUUUAUCAUUUGCUUACGGAAUCGUAGAUCUUAGAUAAUAACUAUUGAACGUUGGUUCUCGCCUCUGUGGAUUUCGUUGACCCAGCGCUAGCGAUUGUCGCGGUGAUUUUCUUCACUCGAACGAUCGGGCGCUGAGGCUCGUGUAAACGUUCACCAUCGAAGGGGUGCCGGGGCGACUCAUUUUUGCCAGCAUACAACUCCGAUUCUACCACUGAAAUUCGCUAUAUAUUUCUAUUUACAAUUCGUAUUCGAAUGAAUUUGCCAGUGUCUUCAAAACUAGGUCGUUUUAGAAUAUUUGAGCAGCAGCAGAUAGCCAAUCACUGAAAUUUCGGAUAUGUUUUAGAAAUUCGUUUUUUAGCCUGCCAAUCACUGAAAUUUCGAAGAAAUUCUAUAGUUUAUCCUAGUUUGAGUGUGUGUUCGAACCGUGAUAUUAUCACUACGGAAUAUUAUUUUUGGUAGAAAGUAUUUCUAAAAGUCGUCAUCAUAUGACCAAAGGUCGCAUGAGUGCGAGACAAUUGCACCAGUCACUGUAAGUUCUUUUUAAGUUCUAUUUCUAUUAUUUUUGCGAAAGCAGGAAACAAACCAAUCAUUGAAAUUUCUCAAUAUUUUCUAUUUCCUAUUCGUAUGCGAACUGUCAGCGAACUACGACACCAGCCUACUGUUAUUUCUUUCAAAUUCUAUUUCAAUUUUUUUGCGAACCAUUGCAAGCAAUUUCUUUUGACACGUGAUAUUAUCACUACGGAAUAUUAUUUUUGCCUCGCGAAAAUCCGACCACUGCAGCUUCACAAUAUUACAAUAUGCAUUACAAAUUUACGGGACUGAAAUCUCUUGAAGUCGUCAUCAUAUGACCAAAGGUCGCAUGAGUGCGCGUCCAUCAGUGAAAGUUCGGGUAUGUUUUAGAAAUCGUUUUUUUUUUGUUUUAAAUAUAUCUUAUUUUGUUAUGGUUCCGUUGCGUGCUAUUAGCACUACGGAAUAUCUCUUUUUGUGUGAGUAAACUUGUAACCCGACUUAUACUACAUAUUUCGUGCUUCAAUACAAAACUGUUCACUCUUUGACAGUCACAUGCAUAUGCGCUGAAUUCAAGUUAUUGGAAAAGAAAGACAUACGACUUACAUAUUGCAAUUUAAUUUGUGAAGAACGUAAGCUUGCCUUCGAGUAAUUCAUAACCAGGAAGAAUGUUGUUGGUUCUUAUUGGACUUUAAUUUUUUCGAAAAGUCAUGACCAAAGGUCGCAUGAGUACGAAAAAUAAACACUGGAAUAGUUUUACUGUAAAUCUUUUCAGGUCUAUUUUUAUUAUUUUUGACAACAUGCAAACUUGAUUCAACUACUGAAAUUUCUCUAUAUAUUUCUAUUUACAAUUCGUAUACUUGAAAAGGCAAUGUAUUUGCCAGUCUCUUCAAAACUAGGUCGUUUUAGAAUAUUUGAGCAGAUAGCCAAUCACCGAAAUUUCGGAUAUGUUUUAGAAAUUCGUUUUUUAGCCAAGUUAACCAAUCACUGAAAUUUCGAAGAAAUUCUAUAGUUUAUCCUAGUUUGAGACGAACUGUGUUCGAACCGUGAUAUUAUCACUACGGAAUAUUAUUUUUGGUAGUAGAUAGAAAAUUUCUCAAAAAGUCGUCAUCAUAUGACCAAAGGUCGCAUGAGUGCGAGACAAUUGCACCAUUCACUGUAAGUUCUUUUUAAGUUCUAUUUCUAUUAUUUUUACGAAAGCAGGCAGUUCUAUAAGACUGACAAUUUCUCAAAAUGUUCUAUUUCCUAUUCGUAUGCGAACUGUCAGCGAACUACGACACCAGCCUACUGUGAUUUCUUUCAAAUUCUAUUUCAAUUUUUUUGCGAACCAUUGCAAGCAAUUUCUUUUGACACGUGAUAUUAUCACUACGGAAUAUUAUUUUUGCCCCGCGAAAGUCCAACCACUGCAGCUUCACAAUAUUACAAUAUGCAUUACAAAUUUACUGGAGUAAGAUCUCUUGAAGUCGUCAUCAUAUGACCAAAGGUCGCAUGAGUGCACGUAGAAAGAUUCAACCACUGAAAUUUCGGAUAUGUUUUAGAAAUUCGUUUUUUCACUCUAUUAGGAAACGCCGGUAGCUGGCUGGUUAGUGAACUUUCGCUUGCUGCUGUUUAGAAUUGGAAAGACCAUCCAUCCUUCUUCAUUUUGGCGGAUGGUUUCUCAAAAAGUCGUCAUCCAUUAUGCGUUCCAAUUUUUUUUUAUUUGAACAACUGACACUUCUUAGAAUAGCUUACUAGUUUUUGUCUAUGCAAUCUAAGUGUAAACAGUCAGCAUUGCGAAGCGUUUGGAUAGUGCGAACGAACGAAAAAAGCAAGUUCUUUUCAAGUUCUAUUUCUACUAUAUGUACGGCUGAAAAUCACUAAAAAUUCUCAAUAUUUUCCAUUCCCUGUUCGUGAUCACAGAAGUUUGUCACUGGCCUGCUGCGAUUGACUUUGUAUUCGCGUUAUUUUUAUUUCAAAAUGGUUCAUCGUUCUAUUGCUAUUUGAUUGAAACAAUUCCAGCUCAAACGCAAUGAUGGAUUCCGGAAUCGAAGAUUGUAUUUCAGCGUGAUUCAGACAGGAGUCUUUCCGAGUUCCUAAUCAAAUUUGUGAUUUUCAAUCACAUUUCGUACCAGUGGGAGCUAUGAAUUUGUCCGUCUCUUCAAAACUAGGUCGUUUUAGAAUAUUUGCCAAAAGGCUAAGGCUAAGAAUUUGUUCUUCUCUUCAAAACUAGGUCGUUUUAGAAUAUUUACUCUAAAAUAAUUGUUAUUUUUUAGCACUGUGAAUAGGCGUCAAAUUGAAGGUGUCCGAUGUUUGAUCGUAACAGCGAAAGCAGUAAAUACCAAUCACUCUAAUUUCGGAUAUGUUUUAGAAAUUCGUUUUUUACCCAUCGUUUGCCAAGGUAAUGCUAGGAAUAAAGGCUAGCUGACCCACAAUGAAAACGAUGAUAUAAAAUAAAUUAAAACUUCGGAACAUUUGAGACAAUAAACUCACCAACGCUUUAGGGUGGCAAAUCCGGAUACGGCUGCUGCUACCGUCGAUCCUCGAUUCCCGAGGGAGUUUUUCUCUGGUUAAGUGAAAGUAAUGAUUUUUAGUGUGGUAGAAGCUUUUUUUUAAAUGAAAAUGAUCCUACUUGUCCGGUUGCUCCGGCUGAACUGAACUUUUAUUUCUAACUUUAUUUCAAAAGUCCCUGGUGUCCAGUUGUUAACGCUGACAAAUGCUAUGCCACAAGCGCCUGCUCCAAGCGGGAGAGUGACUGUUGCAGACGUUGUUGUUGUUUCGCCUGGUGUAGGGUUCGAACCUUCAUAUAUCGUCGCGGGAAAAUUUGUGCUUUUAGUUCUAAAGUUUUCCCCGUUUUUCUAUUUUGCGGCGUAGAUUUCCGCGAAUUUCUUAUUUGUUUACUUAUAUAUUUGGCCCUGCCUCUUCAAGACUGACGUAUCUAACCGAAUUACGGAUUCUUGCCUACAAUCCUAGUCCAGUCUCGUAGGGGUUCAUAAAUAUGCGGUUACAUUUGUACCGAUUUCUAAGAUUUUAUUACUAUCCUAAACGCAGAGAAAGUGAUAAGGAAAAAUCAAAACUAGCUAGUCAGACCGUGCCAUAUGCUUAUGUAAAUUAGGCGCGGGAGGUUGGCAAAAAGACAGAGUGAUCUUUUCUCCCCUGUUCUUUUCAUUCCAUUAAUAGUACUGAAGUGUCAAGAGAGGGAACCGGUUUGAUUUCAAAACCAGCCCUGCGGGCACUCUCAGUUCGCUCGCCUGCUUCGGUGGGGAAAAAAAAGACAUACGACUUACAUAUUGCAAAUUGAUUUGAGUCGGAAAAAGUUCCCCUAGUAUCUAUUUAAAUGAAACGAGCGGCUUAGCAUGACCCGACGAACAAAAAACAUACACCACCAACUACUACUAAUACUAAUGUUAACAAGUUUGGAAGGUUUUUUCCUACUUUACAAAAAUGUCAAACGCUAACUUUCGUUUUACAACUCACCAGACUAAAUGACCCGACCGUCGAGCUAGAUAUACAUCCAGCCGAGUCGGGUUUUGCUAGGGCUUAAAAAGACAUACAACUUAUAUAUUGCAAGUUUAUUUGGGCCGGAAGAAGACCACCUAUGGAUCGUGACAGCUUUUGUUAAGUUUUAAUAGUGUUGUUGAUUGGUGAAUCAAUCAACGGUUUUAUCAACCACUUUUCGAGGCAGUGGGAACGCCUGAACUAGCCAGAAGGGCUCUGCUGGAUUUCUUUCGAUUAACUUGAUACGGCCUUCCCGUAAGACUAGUUAGUUUGCUAAAAUUGAAAUUUGUUUUUAUACAAUUCUUCUUAGUUAAUUAGCCCUACGCGCUACUGUCUUUACCGUAUCCCCGCUGUAAGCUCUUUUUAAGUGCUAUUUCUAUCAGUUUUACGAAUAAAAAUUACAUUCUCAAUAUUUUCUAUUUUCUACAUGAACCUGCGAACUGUCACAGCGGCUUACCUCCGGCUUGCUGCAAUUUCAUUUUAAUUUUCCCGCUCUACUAUUCGCACGGGUUAUCGUUGUGUUCACAUACGUCGUUUAGAAUAUUUACGCCAAAAUAUUGUUUACCUAACACUGCUGUUUUUGAAAAACUUCCAACACCUCAAUUAAAACCCAAACUAGUACGUCUUGCGUAGGCGUCAAAUUGAAGUUGUCCGCAUGUUUGAUCGUAACACUCUUUAUCAGCGAAAGCUGUAAAUACCAAUCACUCCAAUUUCGGAUAUGUUUUAGAAAUUCGUUUUUUACCCAUCGUUUGCCAAGGUAACGCUAGGAAUUUACGGUCAUCGGUUUCUGAAAAAAACGACUCAACCACUGCUAUUGAAAAAAGCGACUGAUUUAUUUUCAUAUUCUUAAAACUAUAUAUACAAAUUCCUAAUCUAACUAUUCACCUACCUACUUUUGGAUAUUUGAUAAUUUAAACGCAAGGCUGUUCCCUUGUUGGUAGUUUUUCAUAAUCUGCUUUAUUCCAUUUAAAAAUCUUACGUGCUAACCUAGCUAACCUGACUUAAACUAUUCUAUGUAAAUCAAAAUGGGAGGAGUCAGUUACAAUUUCAAAGUACAUAAUUAUGUACGGGUAACGUAAAAAAGGGAAAACAAAUCAAUGAAUAAGUAUGGGUGCAUUGGUUGCUAUCGGUGCUUUUGUUUGGUUACGCAAGGCUGUUUAUUUGUCGCCUCAGCAUAAUAAUGACCUAGUGAGAAUGUUGCUAUAACAAGUGGUGCGACCCAGAAUGGUUUAACUGGAAUGCGCCCAUCUGGUUAUGCAAGUUGGAUUUGAAAACGAUCGUUCAAGUAAUUUACGAUCUGUGGGAAAAUAUGAGUGUGGCCUCGUUUCAAGUGGCCUGACUAAAGGAUAUGUUAAAUCUGGUUUUUAUGACCUGUGACCUGAGAAGGAUUCACAUUGGUGCAUGUAGGGAUUGGUUUUGUGGGAAUAAUUUGUGAUGCUAGAAAGUAAGUCCGUUACACUACUUAGUCCUAGCUAUCCACCCUUCUCACUCACUCCUACCGUGAUGUGUUUUUUAUUCCCUACUGUUUUAGGGUGGGUAAACAAUUCAAAUCCUAAGCCCUUUGCGCUGGUAAACAAAUCAAUUCUAUAUCUUUCGGCGCGGGUAAAAUUAUCUAUUUGGUAUCGGUCUAGACCGGAUACCUUUAUGUUGGAUUUUUUCCCAUGACCGUCGCUAGAUCACUUUAUUAUUAUUUUUUUCUUGCCUACAAUCCUAGUCCUGUCUCGUAGGGGUUCAUAAAUAUGCGGUUACAUUUGUACCGCUUUCUAAGAUUUUAUUACUAUCCCAAACGCAGAGAAAGUGAGAAGGAAAAAUCAAAACUAGCUAGUCAGACCGUGUCAUAUGCUUAUGUAAAUUAGACGCGGGAGGUUGGCAAAUAGGCAGAGUGAUUUUUUUCCCUGUUCUUUUCAUUACAUUAAUAGUACUAAAGUGUCAAGUGAGCGAACCGGUUUGAUUUCAAAACCAGCCCUGCGGGCACUCUCAGUUCGCUCGCCUGCUGCGGUGGGGGAAAAAGACAUACGACUUACAUAUUGCAAAUUGAUUUGAGUCGGAAAAAGUUCCCCUAGUAUCUAUUUAAAUGAAACGAGCAGCUUAGCAUGACCCGACGAACAAAAAACAUACAAAGUUUUUGUACUCACCAACGCACGCUACUAGCGCCAGCAUUUUAUUUUAAUUACUUCCCUUUUUCGUAUUAAAAAUGUUAAAAAGUUUGGAAGGUUUUUUUCUACUUUACAAAAAUGUCAAACGUUAACUUUCGUUUUACAACUCACCAGACCAAAUGACCCGACCGUCGAGCUAGAUAUACAUCCAGCCGAGUCGGGUUUUGCUAGGGCUUAAAAAGACAUACAACUUAUAUAUUGCAAGUUUAUUUGGGCCGGAAGAAGACCACCUAUGGAUCGUGACAGCUUUUGUUAAGUUUUAAUAGUGUUGUUGAUUGGUGAAUCAAUCAACGGUUUUAGCAACAGCUUUUCGAGGCAGUGGAAACGCCUGAACUAACCAGAAGGGCUCUGCUGGAUUUCUUUCGAUUAACUUGAUACGGCCUUCCCGUAAGACUAGUUAGUUUGUUAAAAUUGAAAUUAUAUUUUAUACAAUUCUUAAUUAAUUAGCCCUACGCGCUACUGUUUUACCGCGUCCCCGCUGUAAGCUCUUUUUAAGUACUAUUUCUAUUAUUUUUGCGAAUAAAAAUUACAUUCUCAAUAUUUUCUAUUUUCUACAUGAACCUGCGAACUGUCACAGCGGCUUACCUCCAGCCUGCUGCGAUUUCAUUUUAACUUUCCCUCUCUACUAUUCGCACGGGUUAUCAUUGUGUUCACAUACGUCGUUUAGAAUAUUUACUCCAAAAUAUUGUUUACCUAACACUGCUGUUUUUAAAAAACUUUCAACACCUCAAUUAAAACCCGAACUAAUACGUUUUGCAUAGGCGUCAAAUUGAAGUUGUCCGAGUGUUUGAUCGUAACACUCUUUAUCAGCGAAAACAGUAAUUACCAAUCACUCUAAUUUCGGAUAUGUUUUAGAAAUUCGUUUUUUACCCAUCGUUUGCCAAGGUAACGCUAGGAAUAAAGGCUAGCUGACCCAAAAUGAAAACGAUAAAAUUACUGCUACUCAAGGAUAUAAGUUCUCAGUAGUCUAACAUGGACGUAAGUUAGAAAAAUUACUAAUUUGUUUAAAUUUUAAAAAAAACUUAUACUACACUACGUCAAGUCUUUGUCAAGUGCAGAACCUCUCACAGUUAACCACAUGCGGAAUGUGGCACUAGGUUCGUAUGUCUAAUUAAUAGUAUUAUCGUUACAGUUGAAACCUGGAAAAUCUCACCAGCGACGAUCGUUUUUUCUCUUGUUUACUGCUAAUCUAUGAUGUCGAAAGUAGUGCAUCAUUGUACGAAUAAAGCGCACAACAUCCGACGUGAUUGCAUUGUUUAGAAACAGAGAAAAUACGAUUGUUGCUGGUUGGAUUUUUCAGUUUUCAACUGCAACCAGAAUACUGAAGUGUCAAGUGAGCGAACCGGUUUAAUUUCAAAACCAGCCCUGGGGGCACUCUCAGUUUGCUCGAUAAACAUAUGAUUACAGCUUAAAAGCCAACUGUCAAAAUUCUCUUUGAAAGUAAAUUCCGGACAAACCGUUACUCGCCAAUCACAGAGAUUGGUAGUAAACAAAAGAGAAAAAUUUUCUCUUUCAUUAACUGCUAUGAACUGUGUUUAGCCAGUACCCGGUCAAACCAUUCGGAAUUUGAUUCGGAAUCCUGAAUGGAGUCAGUAUGGAUUCCAAAUCAAAUGCAACAACCGAUUCUGAAACCGAUUGAGUCGGAAUCGGUUGUUGUAUUUAAUUUGGAAUCCAUACUGACUCCAUUCAGAAAGCCGAACCGGUUCCGGAAUGAGUUUAACUGGGUAACGGUUUGUCCGGAAUUUCCUUUCAAAGAGAAUUUUGACAGUUGGCUUUUAAGCCGUAAUCAUAUGUUUGACGAGAUAUGUAACGACGACCCAGUUAAACUCAUUCCGGAACCGGUUCGGAUUUCUGAAUGGAGUUAUUAUGGAUUCCAAAUCAAAUGCAACAACCGAUUCCGACUCAGAAUCGGUUGUUGCAUUUGAUUUGGAAUCCAUAAUUACUCCAUUCAGGAUUGAUGAUGAGACGGUAAUGCCACAGUAGAUCCGUUUGUUCUUACUUUCGAAAUUAUACCUGGCUACCUUGCUGACGAAUA